AUUGAACGCUGGCGGCAGGCCUAACACAUGCAAGUCGAACGAGUGGCGGACGGGUGCGUAAUGUCUGGGAAACUGCCCGAUGGAGGGGGAUAACUACUGGACACGGUAGCUACUACCGCAUACCAUCGGAUGUGCCCAGAUGGGCUUAGCUAGGAGGUGGGGUAACGGCUCACCUAGGCGACUAUCCCUAGCUGGUCUGAGAGGAUGACCAGCCACACUGUAACGUAGACACGGUCCAGAAUCCUACGGGAGGCAGCAGUGGGGAAUAUUGCACAAUGGGCGCAAGCCUGAUGCAGCCAUGCCGCGUGUAUGAAGAAGGCUUUCGGGUUGUAAAGUACUUUCAGCGAGGAGGCGUUACGCGCAGAAGAAGCACCGGCUAACUCCGUGCCAGCAGCCGCGGUAAUAC
rnacentral:rRNA from 1 species